AACGAACGCUGGCGGCAGGCUUAACACAUGCAAGUCGAGCGCCCCGCAAGGGGAGCGGCAGACGGGUGAGUAACGCGUGGGAAUCUACCCAUCUCUACGGAAUAACGCAUGGAAACGUGUGCUAAUACCGUAUACGUCCUUCGGGAGAAAGAUUUAUCGGAGAUGGAUGAGCCCGCGUUGGAUUAGCUAGUUGGUGGGGUAAAGGCCUACCAAGGCGACGAGCCAUAGCUGGUCUGAGAGGAUGAUCAGCCACACUGGGACGGAGACACGGCCCAGACUCCUACGGGAGCGAGCAGUGGGGAAUAUUGGACAAUGGGCGCAAGCCUGAUCCAGCCAUGCCGCGUGAGUGAUGAAGGCCCUAGGGUUGUAAAGCUCUUUCACCGGUGAAGAUAAUGACGGUAACCGGAGAAGAAGCCCCGGCUAACUUCGUGCCAGCCGCCGCAGUAAAAC
rnacentral:rRNA from 1 species